rnacentral:lncRNA from 1 species
AUUGAUUCAGAUGUCAUAAUUAAAUGAGCCUGAGACUGAGCUCAGAUAGAAACUGUUUGGAAAGAUGGAUAAAGAGUCAGGAAGAGAGAUGAGUUAGAGUCUCUUUCUCUAAUAGUACUUGUCAGAAUUUCAAGGGUGAGAGAUUCUAUCAAUUGGAACGAGAAUGGUGUGGGUGUGAUGGGCUUUGGCACCUUAUCAAUUCUCUCCCUUCUAAGAGAGCAUGUGUGUGACAUCUGUGAUUUACUUCCGAUCUACCAGUCUGGUGAGCAUGAGUCUUGAGUUUGCUGCCAAAUUACUGUACUCGUCUCCAUGCUAAAAGGCUGCUGUCAUGUUUAAGACUGUCAGAAAUUCAGAUCUUUCCCACGGGUGAUCCCAGAGAACACAUAAAAUAGGGACUUUUUUGCGUAUGGAGAAAAAUAUGUGGAAGUUAUGCUGUUGCAAAUCAAUUUAUUUUAUACCAGAUUAGCCCUCCCAAUUUCUGCAUAUAUGGUUUAAACAAUAUUAUAGCUGUAUCAAUGGAAAUAUAAAAUGUAAAGACAAAUUGUCUUAUAACCUCAACACCCC